rnacentral:tRNA from 1 species
GGGUAGAUGGGUGCCGGUGUGCCUCCUGGUCUUCAAAACCAGUGUGACGUCUCAAAAGGGCGUUGGGUGGGUUCGAUUCCCACAUACUCCC